GUGAAGUUUAGGUGUAACUCCAAUCUGUAUGUUGAGAUUGCCUGUUUUCAAAACAAGUAAUGUAAAGCUUACGAUUCAAAAGAUAGCAGUAAAUGUGUCAACAAAUAAAAAACAUUCAUAUGUGCACACAUAAGUUCAGGUUCCCUGUUUUAAAUCACAAAGUGUGGCUUCUCCCUGUAAAUGUCAAGUUGUCAAGCAGGGAAGAAAGUAAAAAUAAUUGUCCAUGCGUUCUGGCUUGGUGUCUUUACCAAUUAUUGUGAAGGAGCCCAUUCAUCCAUUCCAUGCCUAUUUUGUCUUGCUUUUCCCAAUGCUGUAUUACAACAUUUUUAUAAAUGACUCUUUAUUGUAAGUACACCAACACCCCAUAAUUCCAAAAAUAUGAUUUACAUAUUUUUGCAGAACUGAAAUGCACAUGUGGAUAAUAUAGGAGCAUAGGAAAGUCUCAAAAUAGGAAAAGUAAUACCAUGAUGUGACGGCUUUCUUGAUUUGUACUUCCAGAAUGCAACUUUAGAAAGUUGAAGAAAUGGAGACAGAAUAGAUAGAAUGGUCGGUCACAGGUGGGACUAGAAUGCAGAUUUGGACUUGAAGAGAAAAGGACCUGGCAAAUUCCAUGAAAACUAACAAACAAAACCAAGACCAGAAAAAAACCCUCUUCCUUUGUUUACAUCUCAAUUUAUCAUUUUCUGUAAUGCUUUUAUAAUUUAGAAAUGCAGCCUUCUUCAGCAUAACCUCCUGCCCUCCUCUGGCCCCCAAAAUGUCACUGGAUUCUAUCCAGGUAGGAAGAUAUAUGGGCUAUGAGAAGUUAAAAAAAUGUGGCACCAACUCUGCUGACUCCUUAUAUUCUGCUAAGUGGGCUUUAAGCCAUCCGGUGACAUUUGUUUUUAAACAUCCUGUAAGCUAUGCCAUAUUAUCAAAUUAAAUUAAAAACACAAUAUAUUCUCUUACAGUGACAGAACCUGAGUCAGGACUUCCAAGUUUGUGUUAUUAUUGUUAUUAUUAUUUUGUUUUUUACAAAGGAAUUAAAAAUUUUUUUCAUUACACCUGGCAUUGUUGGUCUGCUGUGCAUAUUAAUGUCAAUAAAGUACUUGCGUCCCUUC